AGGAUUCCCCUAGUAACUGCGAGUGAAGCGGGAAAAGCUCAAAUUUAAAAUCUGGCAGCCUCUGGCUGUCCGAGUUGUAAUCUAGAGAAGUAAUGCCCGUGCUGGACCGUGUAUAAGUCUCCUGGGAUGGGGCGUCAUAGAGGGUGAGAAUCCCGUCUUUGACACGGACUACCAGUGCAUUGUGGUAUGCUCUCAAAGAGUCGAGUUGUUUGGGAAUGCAGCUCAAAAUGGGUGGUAAAUUCCAUCUAAAGCUAAAUAUUGGCGAGAGACCGAUAGCGAACAAGUACCGUGAGGGAAAGAUGAAAAGAACUUUGGAAAGAGAGUUAAACAGUACGUGAAAUUGCUGAAAGGGAAACGCUUGAAGUCAGUCGCGUUGGCUGGGGAUCAGCCUUGCUUUUUGCAUGGUGUACUUUCUGGUUGACGGGUCAGCAUCAAUUUUGACCACUGGAAAAGGCUCAAGGGAAUGUGGCAGCUUCGGCUGUGUUAUAGCCCCUGUUCACAUACAGUGGUUGGGAUUGAGGAACUCAGCACGCCGCAAGGCCGGGUUUYGACCACGUUCGUGCUUAGGAUGCUGGCAUAAUGGCUUUAAGCGACCCGUCUUGAAACACGGACCAAGGAGUCUAACAUGCCUGCAAGUAUUUGGGUGGAAAACCCAAGUGCGCAAUGAAAGUGAAAGUUGAGAUCCCUGUCGUGGGGAGCAUCGACGCCCGGACCAGAACUUUUGGGACGGAUCCGCGGUGGAGCAUGUAUGUUGGGACCCGAAAGAUGGUGAACUAUGCCUGAAUAGGGUGAAGCCAGAGGAAACUCUGGUGGAGGCUCGUAGCGAUUCUGACGUGCAAAUCGAUCGUCAAAUUUGGGUAUAGG
rnacentral:rRNA from 1 species